UACGGAGGGUGCAAGCGUUAUCCGGAUUCACUGGGUUUAAAGGGUGCGUAGGUGGGAAUGUAAGUCAGUGGUGAAAUCUCCGUGCUUAACAUGGAACUGCCAUUGAUACUAUGUUUCUUGAAUUUUCUGGAGGUAAGCGGAAUAUGUCAUGUAGCGGUGAAAUGCUUAGAUAUGACAUAGAACACCAAUUGCGAAGGCAGCUCACUACACAAAUAUUGACACUGAGGCACGAAAGCGUGGGGAUCAAACAGG
rnacentral:rRNA from 1 species